rnacentral:rRNA from 1 species
CCUACGGGAGGCAGCAGUGGGGAAUAUUGCACCAUUGGGGAAACCCUGAUGCAGCAACGCCGCGUGAGCGAUGAAUGCCUUCGGGUCGUAAAGCUCUGUCCUAAGGGAAGAAUACUGACGGUACCUUAGGAGGAAGCCCCGGCUAACUACGGGGCAGGAGAAGCGGUAAUACGAAGGGGGCUAGCGUUAUCCGGAAUUACUGGUCGUAAAGGGUGCGUAGGCGGCCUUUCAAUUCAGAGGUGAAAGGUUACGGCUCGACCGUAGUAAGACAUUGAAACGGUAGGGUUUGAGUGCAGGAUAGGAGAGUGGAAUUCACAGUGUAGCGGUGAAAAUCGUAGAUAUUGGAAGGAACACCAGUUGCGAAGACGGCUCUCUGGACUGUAACUGACGCUGAGGUACGAAAGCGUGGGGAGCGAACAGGAUUAGAUACCCUAGUAGUC